CACGUAGGGCGCAAGCGUUGUCCGGAAUUAUUGGGCGUAAAGAGCUCGUAGGCGGCCUGUCGCGUCGGAUGUGAAAGCCCGGGGCUUAACCCCGGGUCUGCAUUCGAUACGGGCAGGCUGGAGUUCGGUAGGGGAGAUCGGAAUUCCUGGUGUAGCGGUGAAAUGCGCAGAUAUCAGGAGGAACACCGGUGGCGAAGGCGGAUCUCUGGGCCGAUACUGACGCUGAGGAGCGAAAGCGUGGGGAGCGAACAGG
rnacentral:rRNA from 1 species